rnacentral:misc_RNA from 1 species
GAUGAAGAACGUAGCGAAAUGCGAUAAGUAAUGCGAAUUGCAGAAUUCAGUGAGUCAUCGAAUCUUUGAACGCACAUUGCGCCCUGUGGUAUUCCGCAGGGCAUGCCUGUACGAGCGUCAUUUCAACCCUCAAGCUCUGCUUGGUGUUGGGCCCUGCCCGCUGCGGCCGGCCCUAAAGACAGUGGCGGUGCCGCCUGGCCCUGAGCGUAGUACAUCUCUCGCUCCAGUGCCCGGUGGUAGCCUGCCAGAACCCCAACUCUCGUGGUUGACCUCGGAUCAGGUAGGGAUACCCGCUGAACUUAAGCAUAUCAAUAAGCGGAGGA